GAUGAACGCUGACAGAAUGCUUAACACAUGCAAGUCUUUGGCGAAGCUGUGCUUGCACAGCCUAGCCAAGGCGGACGGGUGAGUAACGCGUAAGGAACUUGCCCUGCAGUCAGGGAUAACAGACGGAAACGACUGAUAAGACCUGGUAAAGUCAGGCGGACUCAUGUCCAGCCUGAUGAAAAGAGAUGCUGCAGGAGAGCCUUGCGUCCUAUUAGCUUGUUGGUGGGGUAACGGCCCACCAAGGCGAUGAUAGGUAGCCGGCCUGAGAGGGUGGACGGCCACAAGGGGACUGAGAUACGGCCCUGACGCCUACGGGAGGCAGCAGUGGAGAAUAUUGGACAAUGGGGGCAACCCUGAUCCAGCAAUUCUGUGUGCACGAUGAAGGUUUUCGGAUUGUAAAGUGCUUUCAGCAGGGAAGAAAAAAAUGACGGUACCUGCAGAAGAAGCGACGGCUAAAUACGUG
rnacentral:rRNA from 1 species